GACGAACCGAGCGAACGUUGUUCGGAAUCACUGGGCUUAAAGGGCGCGUAGGCGGGCUAUCAAGUCUGGGGUGAAAUGCCGCGGCUCAACCGCGGAACGGCCUCAGAUACUGACGGCCUGGAGGGAGGUAGGGGCAUGCGGAACUGUAGGUGGAGCGGUGAAAUGCGUUGAUAUCUACAGGAACUCCGGUGGCGAAAGCGGCGUGCUGGACCUCUUCUGACGCUGAGGCGCGAAAGCUAGGGGAGCGAACGGG
rnacentral:rRNA from 1 species